GAUGAACGCUGGCGGCGUGCCUAAUACAUGCAAGUCGAGCGAACAGACGAGGAGCUUGCUCCUCUGACGUUAGCGGCGGACGGGUGAGUAACACGUGGAUAACCUACCUAUAAGACUGGGAUAACUUCUGGAAACCGGAGCUAAUACCGGAUAAUAUAUUGAACCGCAUGGUUCAAUAGUGAAAGACGGUUUUGCUGUCACUUAUAGAUGGAUCCGCGCCGCAUUAGCUAGUUGGUAAGGUAACGGCUUACCAAGGCAACGAUGCGUAGCCGACCUGAGAGGGUGAUCGGCCACACUGGAACUGAGACACGGUCCAGACUCCUACGGGAGGCAGCAGUAGGGAAUCUUCAGCAAUGGGCGAAAGCUUGACGGAGCAACGCCGCGUGAGUGAUGAAGGUCUUCGGAUCGUAAAACUCUGUUAUUAGGGAAGAACAAAUGUGUAAGUAACUAUGCACGUCUUGACGGUACCUAAUCAGAAAGCCACGGCUAACUACGUG
rnacentral:rRNA from 1 species